UUUCCGUGGGUGAACCUGCGGAAGGAUCAUUACCAAAACUUAGCUGUCUGGCCGCAAGGCUUUGACGCUUCAACCCUUUGUGAACCAAAAAACCUUUCGCUUCGGCAGCCGCGCCGGUUGGGAACAGCCCGCGCUUCAGCCUGCCGUUAGCACCAAACAUCAAAACUUGCAGUCAAAAACAUUGUCUGAUACCAAAUUUUCGAAUGAAAAUCAAAACUUUCAACAACGGAUCUCUUGGUUCCC
rnacentral:misc_RNA from 1 species